GGGUGUAUAGCUCAAUUGGUAGAGCAAACGACUCUUAAUCGUUUGGUUCGGGGUUCGAGUCCCCGUACACCCACCA
rnacentral:tRNA from 1 species